rnacentral:rRNA from 1 species
UACGUAGGUGGCAAGCGUUAUCCGGAAUUAUUGGGCGUAAAGCGCGCGCAGGUGGUUUCUUAAGUCUGAUGUGAAAGCCCACGGCUCAACCGUGGAGGGUCAUUGGAAACUGGGAGACUUGAGUGCAGAAGAGGAAAGUGGAAUUCCAUGUGUAGCGGUGAAAUGCGUAGAGAUAUGGAGGAACACCAGUGGCGAAGGCGACUUUCUGGACAGUAACUGACGCUGAGGCGCGAAAGCUAGGGGAGCAAACAGG